UACGUAGGGUGCAGGCGUUAAUCGGAAUUACUGGGCGUAAAGCGUGCGCAGGCGGCUUUGCAAGACAGAUGUGAAAUCCCCGGGCUUAACCUGGGAACUGCAUUUGUGACUGCAUGGCUAGAGUGCGGCAGAGGGGGAUGGAAUUCCGCGUGUAGCAGUGAAAUGCGUAGAUAUGCGGAGGAACACCGAUGGCGAAGGCGACAUCCUGGACCGGUAUUGACGCUGAGGCGCGAAAGCCAGGGGAGCAAACGGG
rnacentral:rRNA from 1 species